UACGGAAGGCAGCAGUGGGGAAUAUUGCACAAUGGGCGCAAGCCUGAUGCAGCCAUGCCGCGUGUAUGAAGAAGGCCUUCGGGUUGUAAAGUACUUUCAGUCGUGAGGAAGGUGUUAAGGUUAAUAACCUUAGCAAUUGACGUUAGCGACAGAAGAGGCACCGGCUAACUCCGUGCCAGCAGCCGCGGUAAUACGGAGGGUGCGAGCGUUAAUCGGAAUUACUGGGCGUAAAGGGCACGCAGGCGGUUAAUUAAGUUGGAUGUGAAAUCCCCGGGCUUAACCUGGGAAUGGCAUUCAAGACUGGUUAGCUAGAGUCUUGUAGAGGGGGUAGAAUUCCAUGUGUAGCGGUGAAAUGCGUAGAGAUGUGGAGGAAUACCGGGUGGCGAAGGCGGCCCCUGGGACAAAGACUGACGCUCAUGUGCGAAAGCGUGGGGAGCAAACAGGGAUUAGAUACC
rnacentral:rRNA from 1 species